UAUGGCUCAGUGGCACAGUGCCUGCUUGGCAAGCACAAGAUCUGAGUUUGAUUCUCAGUA
rnacentral:tRNA from 1 species